rnacentral:rRNA from 1 species
CCUGAUGCAGCCNUGCCGCGUGUAUGAAGAAGGCCUUCGGGUUGUAAAGUACUUCAGCAGUGAGGAAGGGGGUAUCGUUAAUAGCGGUAUCUUUUGACGUUAGCUGCAGAAGAAGCACCGGCUAACUCCGUGCCAGCAGCCGCGGU